UACACUCCUACGGGAGGCAGCAGUGGGGAAUAUUGGACAAUGGGCGCAAGCCUGAUCCAGCCAUGCCGCGUGAGUGAUGAAGGCCCUAGGGUUGUAAAGCUCUUUCACCGGUGAAGAUAAUGACGGUAACCGGAGAAGAAGCCCCGGCUAACUUCGUGCCAGCAGCCGCGGUAAUACGAAGGGGGCUAGCGUUGUUCGGAUUUACUGGGCGUAAAGCGCACGUAGGCGGACUAUUAAGUCAGGGGUGAAAUCCCGGGGCUCAACCCCGGAACUGCCUUUGAUACUGGUAGUCUUGAGUUCGAGAGAGGUGAGUGGAAUUCCGAGUGUAGAGGUGAAAUUCGUAGAUAUUCGGAGGAACACCAGUGGCGAAGGCGGCUCACUGGCUCGAUACUGACGCUGAGGUGCGAAAGCGUGGGGAGCAAACAGGAUUAGAUACCCUAGUAGUCCCAUG
rnacentral:rRNA from 1 species